rnacentral:rRNA from 1 species
GUGGAUUAGAUACCCUGGUAGUCCACGCCGUAAACGAUGCUAACUCGUUUUUGGGCUUUCGGGUUCAGAGACUAAGCGAAAGUGAUAAGUUAGCCACCUGGGGAGUACGUUCGCAAGAAUGAAACUCAAAGGAAUUGACGGGGGCCCGCACAAGCGGUGGAUUAUGUGGUUUAAUUCGAUGAUACGCGAGGAACCUUACCAAGGCUUAAAUGGGAAUUGACAGUUUCAGAAAUGAGAUUUUCUUCGGACAAUUUUCAAGGUGCUGCACGGCUGUCGUCAACU